UCGGCCGAAUCCAAAAUAGUGGAUUGGGUGCAUCCCUAAUAUUUUGAGUCAGUAAUUGAGGUCAGUAACAGCAGCAGCACAGAGCAUGUGCAGUGAAUCGGCAGAAAAGAUGGGGGAGCUACUGGGGCAUUUUUGAAAGCACAGAUUCAUGGUGUUGGUCUGAGGGAUUGGGACUAGCAAAUUACCUAAAACGCUAUAGAAAAGUGCAAAUUGAUUUAAGAUAUGCAGGGUUUGUGUGCACUAGUGAAAAUGGUCUUUGCCAUGUCAUAAUGAAUCACCUGAAGGAGUUCUAUUCACUCAUAAUGUGAUGCAGGACUUUCUGCAUAGCAACCAAUGGUCUCGGCCAAGUCAUAAUGAAUCACCUGAAGGAGUUCUAUUCACUCACAAUGUGAUGGAAAGACCAUUAUGAUGAAACAUUUUCAGAUGUCUUAUCUCUUUAAGGUCUCUGUCAUGUCAUAAUGGAUCACCUGAAGGAGUUGUAGUAUUACACAAUGAUGCAGUACUUUUUGCAUAGCAACAAGGGUUACCCAGACAGGUCACAGCAGCAAGAAGGUUACCCAGACAGGUCACAGCAGCAAGAAUGGGGAUAUGUUAAGAGACCAUAAACUGGACUCUACCAUGUGCUGAUGAUACAUUGAAGGAGUUUUCACAAUGUCGGGGAUGAUUGCCAUGGCAUAUUGUAUUCUUCAAAGAAUAUUGUGGAACAAUCAACAACCCAAAUACUAGACACUAGCUUCAGUGGAACAAAAGCCAGCACACAACUUGACUUUCUGCAGAAGCAGGCCCUGCAUCUAUGGUGAACUUAAAGUUUCAACUGGUCGUAACAGCAGGAACUCUGGGCAAUGGUUGAGACAAAGAGCAGAUUAGCUGCAAUUUAUGCCAAGAAGGAAUGGACACGUCCCUGACACAUUCUGGAAUGACAUCUGCUUCAUCACUCUAGGAAUGUUCCUCAUGGCAAGAGGCUAUGGGUGGAAUCUGCAUUGCUUUCGUUUUGUUUCUAGAGGGUGUCUGUUAAAUUAAAACUUAAUAAAAAGCACUUGAGGCACCCAUGUGUCUUGCAAGGUUUGCUUCCUGUACAUUACACAUGACUUCUAAUGGUACUUUCACUGUUUUGCACACUAUACAGUACCUGAAUAAAUACUUUUAGAUAAGUUUAA